UGCCAGCAGCCGCGGUAAUACGGAGGGGGGCUGGUGUUACUCAGAAUAAUUGGGCGUAAAGGGUGUGUAGGCUGCUUUUUAAGUUAAAAGUUAAAAACAAGAGCUUAACUUUUGAACAGCUUUUAAAACUAAAAAGCUUGAGUAUAAAAGAGGAUAGUAGUAUUCUUAGUUUAGGGGUUGAAUCCGGAGAAAUUAAGAGGACUUUCAAAGGCGAAGGCAACUUAUCUGGUUUAUAACUGACGCUGAGGCACAAAAGUACAGCCAGCAAACAGGAUUAGAUA
rnacentral:rRNA from 1 species